UACGUAGGGUGCGAGCGUUAUCCGGAAUCAUUGGGCGUAAAGAGCUCGUAGGCGGUUCAACAAGUCGGCUGUGAAAGUCCGGGGCUCAACCCCGGAAUUGCAGUCGAUACUGUUGUGACUUGAGUCCGGUAGAGGAGAAUGGAAUUCCCGGUGUAGCGGUGGAAUGCGCAGAUAUCGGGAGGAACACCAGUAGCGAAGGCGGUUCUCUGGGCCGGCACUGACGCUGAGGAGCGAAAGCGUGGGGAGCAAA
rnacentral:rRNA from 2 species